CAAAAAGUUUCAAAACCUUUGAAUUCUCUGCAACCGCCAGAACCCGCUGAAUUCUGAUUCCCUCUCUUCUGCGACUGUUUGAAUUUUGGCAUUUUUGAAGAAUUAUUGAUCAUUCCCGCUCUGAAAGCGGUAAUUCUUAAGGAUUCAAAAGAUGGAUGAGUCUACGAAGCAAUUUCAGCAAAGCUUGGUUUAGCUUGAAAUUGAAGCUCAGCCACCUCCUUUAGCGCGGCAUCAGGUCAUUCAUGCCCUUUUAACUUCAUGUCUCUCAAAUAACACUUGGAUAAAUCUCUUUGUUUGCUGAGAGAUGUGAGGGAAAGGAAAAUCCAUCAUUAGAGUUACAUGAUGUACCUCUGAAAGCAUUUGCCCUUACUGAGAAAGUAGAGAAAAAUAAUGCUAGGAAAUUGAGUUUAGAAGAACAUCCAAAAGUUUUUGAGAACAUAAGAUGAAUGUAUUUUGAAAUACUGUUUUAGGUUUAUAUUAUAAGGAGUUUGAGAAAUCAAAGUUUUUGUUCGAUUGAGUUUUGCACGUUCAAAUUUUUCAAUGGCUUCUUGCCAUAGAUAGUUGAUUUUGUUACUUAUUUUGUGUAGCUUUUUCUAUCAGAAACUAGAUUCCAUUAACCUUUGAAUCAAUGAUGAAGGGUAUUCCGAGGUCUGUGUCAAGGCCCCUGUUGAGGGAGGUAUGUUCGACAUGUGGCAAUCCUAACUCAAAUGAGUUGUGGAUGAUGUUCCAUGGAAUCGAUGUUUUUGCUACUAUACAAUUUCAUGCUGCUCACAUCAUCUUGGAGACAGGUUUUCUCUAUGACUUGUAAUUUUGAUAGAUUAUGUGUGUGAGUUAAUCAAUAUGCUAGAUUAACUAGAAAUAUCUUGUCCCACACCAAAUGAGCCAGUCUCUUAGAGGUAGAGCCAGAACUGGGAGUCCUUGUUGAGUAGUUGAACAACUGUUACCACCUGCUACCCAGAGAAAGUUAACUUUCCCCAAAUUUCCACCUCGAAUUUGGGCAGUUUUUAGUGGGCCUGUUGGGUAUUUGUUAUCAGAGAGGAUAUUACUCGGUUCAUACUGCAUUGUGGUUAUGGACAAUAACUAGUUUUGGGCAUUGUCCAAUACUUUGAUAGUUUUGCAUGAGGUGGUUGCUCACCAACUCAAAAUCUAGAUCUUAGCACAUUAUUUAAGACUUUAGCAUGGCACCAAUUGAUACCGUUAACCAGAAACUGUAAUGUUGGCAAUAAAAAGAAAAUAUAGUUUGGUUUCCGGGGAGAUGAGGGAACUUUCACCUGUGCAGGAAAAAGAAAAGAGCCAUUGCACUUGGAGAGUCUUGAAAAAUAACUCAAACUAACAACAAUAUGAGAAAUCUUAUCAACAUGCUUCUGUUAUGAACACAAGUUAUGUGACAAUGGCAAAUGGCCUUCGACAAACAACUAGUGAGAUUGCUAUAAAUUCACCAA